rnacentral:rRNA from 1 species
AGCAGCCGCGGUAAUUCCAGCUCCAAUAGCGUAUAUUAAAGUUGUUGCAGUUAAAAAGCUCGUAGUUGAAUUUCGGGAUCAGUGGGUCGGUCGUGCCACUGGUAUGCACUGGCCCUACUGGUUCCUCCUUCUUGAAGAACUGUAAUGCCAUUAAUUUGGUGUUGCAGGGAAACAGGACUGUUACUUUGAAAAAAUUAGAGUGUUUAAAGCAGGCAAUCGCUUGAAUACAUUAGCAUGGAAUAAUGAAAUAGGACGAUCGAUCCUAUUUUGUUGGUUUCUAGGAUUGACGUAAUGAUUAAUAGGGAUAGUUGGGGGCAUUAGUAUUCAAUUGUCAGAGGUGAAAUUCUUGGAUUUAUUGAAGACUAACUACUGCGAAAGCAUUUGCCAAGGAUGUUUUCAUUAAUCAAGAACGAAAGUUAGGGGAUCGAAGACGAUCAGAUACCGUCGUAGUCUUAACCAUAAAACUAUGCCGACUAGGGAUCGGAUGAUGUUAAUUUUUUAAUGACUCAUUCGGCG